rnacentral:rRNA from 1 species
CAUAGGUUAAUGAGGCGAACCGGGGGAACUGAAACAUCUAAGUACCCCGAGGAAAAGAAAUCAACCGAGAUUCCCCCAGUAGCGGCGAGCGAACGGGGAGCAGCCCAGAGCCUGAAUCAGUGUGUGUGUUAGUGGAAGCGUCUGGAAAGGCGCGCGAUACAGGGUGACAGCCCCGUACACAAAAAUGCACAUGCUGUGAGCUCGAUGAGUAGGGCGGGACACGUGGUAUCCUGUCUGAAUAUGGGGGGACCAUCCUCCAAGGCUAAAUACUCCUGACUGACCGAUAGUGAACCAGUACCGUGAGGGAAAGGCGAAAAGAACCCCGGCGAGGGGAGUGAAAAAGAACCUGAAACCGUGUACGUACAAGCAGUGGGAGCACGCUUAGGCGUGUGACUGCGUACCUUUUGUAUAAUGGGUCAGCGACUUAUAUUCUGUAGCAAGGUUAACCGAAUAGGGGAGCCGAAGGGAAACCGAGUCUUAACUGGGCGUUAAGUUGCAGGGUAUAGACCCGAAACCCGGUGAUCUAGCCAUGGGCAGGUUGAAGGUUGGGUAACACUAACUGGAGGACCGAACCGACUAAUGUUGAAAAAUUAGCGGAUGACUUGUGGCUGGGGGUGAAAGGCCAAUCAAACCGGGAGAUAGCUGGUUCUCCCCGAAAGCUAUUUAGGUAGCGCCUCGUGAAUUCAUCUCCGGGGGUAGAGCACUGUUUCGGCAAGGGGGUCAUCCCGACUUACCAACCCGAUGCAAACUGCGAAUACCGGAGAAUGUUAUCACGGGAGACACACGGCGGGUGCUAACGUCCGUCGUGAAGAGGGAAACAACCCAGACCGCCAGCUAAGGUCCCAAAGUCAUGGUUAAGUGGGAAACGAUGUGGGAAGGCCCAGACAGCCAGGAUGUUGGCUUAGAAGCAGCCAUCAUUUAAAGA